rnacentral:rRNA from 1 species
UACGUAGGGUGCGAGCGUUAAUCGGAAUUACUGGGCGUAAAGCGUGCGCAGGCGGUUCGUUGUGUCGGUGGUGAAAGCCCCGGGCUUAACCUGGGAAUGGCCAUGGAAACUGGCGAACUGGAGUGUGGCAGAGGGGGGUGGAAUUCCGCGUGUAGCAGUGAAAUGCGUAGAUAUGUGGAGGAACACCGAUGGCGAAGGCAGCCCCCUGGGUCGACACUGACGCUCAUGCACAAAAGCGUGGGGAGCAAACAGG